AACGAACGCUGGCGGCAUGCCUAACACAUGCAAGUCGAACGAUGCCUUCGGGCAUAGUGGCGCACGGGUGCGUAACACGUGGGAAUCUGCCUUUCGGUUCGGAAUAACUCAGGGAAACUUGAGCUAAUACCGGAUAACGUCGCAAGACCAAAGAUUUAUCACCGAAAGAUGAGCCCGCGUAGGAUUAGCUAGUUGGUGAGGUAAAGGCUCACCAAGGCGACGAUCCUUAGCUGGUCUGAGAGGAUGAUCAGCCACACUGGGACUGAGACACGGCCCAGACUCCUACGGGAGGCAGCAGUGGGGAAUAUUGGACAAUGGGCGAAAGCCUGAUCCAGCAAUGCCGCGUGAGUGAUGAAGGCCUUAGGGUUGUAAAGCUCUUUUACCCGGGAAGAUAAUGACGGUACCGGGAGAAUAAGCCCCGGCUAACUCCGUG
rnacentral:rRNA from 1 species